GACGAACGCUGGCGGCGUGCUUAACACAUGCAAGUCGAACGAUGAACCCGGAGCUUGCUCCGGCGGAUUAGUGGCGAACGGGUGAGUAACACGUGAGUAACCUGCCCUUGACUCUGGGAUAACUGCGGGAAACUGUAGCUAAUACCGGAUACGACCCUCGGAGGCAUCUCCUGGGGGUGGAAAGAAUUUCGGUCAAGGAUGGACUCGCGGCCUAUCAGCUCGUUGGUGAGGUAAAGGCUCACCAAGGCGACGACGGGUAGCCGGCCUGAGAGGGUAACCGGCCACACUGGGACUGGAGCACGGCCCAGACUCCGACGAGAGGCAGCAGAGGGGAAUAGUGCACGAUGGGCGCAAGCCUGAUGCAGCAACGCCGCGUGAGGGAUGACGGCCUUCGGGUUGUAAACCUCUUGUAGCAGGGAAGAAGCGAAAGUGACGGUACCUGCAGAAAAAGCACCGGCUAACUACGUGCCAGCCGCCGCGGUAA
rnacentral:rRNA from 1 species